GUCAGUUGCUAGCUCGUUGUGGUUGACACUGCCUCAUUAUGUGCGUUCCGGUUUCCUCCCACAUCCCAAAAACAUGCAGCAUUAAUUGGACACUCUAAAUUGCCCCUAGGUGUGAUUGUGUGUGCGACUUUUGUCUGUCUCCAUGUGCCCUGCAACUGGCUGCCAACCAGUUCAGGGUGUACCAUGCCUGCCUCCUGCCCGGUGACAGCUAGAGUAAGCUCCAGCACUCCCGCGACCCUCGUGAGGAUAAGCUGCCAAGAAAAUGGAUGGAUGGAUUUGAAAGUACACUGGUGUCUUGAGAUGUGUCCUGUGAUUGGCUGGAGAGAAAUGCAGAAUGUACAUCCCCUCACAUUUCAAAGUCAGUUGUUUACAGGCUCACCUGCGACGAGUGCUAUAAAAUGGAUGCGUGUCAAGACACUCAUGGACAUAUCAUAUAAAGUAUCCUCAAUAUAAUGCAGAUAUUCUCCAAAGGCUUCCUCUGUGUGCAGGGUCAAUGUCUGGUCUGUUAGAAGAGCCACGGCGAUGUCAAUUUACAUGUGUUUGAGUGCCCAGAGAUGAGUUUGUUCUUUCACCUUCGGGCAACAUUUUCAUUAGCGUCAGAAGUAGCUCGCCUCAGAGUCAAAAAAAUGAACUCUCUCCUUUACAUCACUAAGUUGAGAAGGUGGCACGACACGCUGGACUGCAGUCGUACAACCCUUGAAGCAAAUGUUGUACUCAACUCAUCUCAUGCACGCUUGAAGAGGCACCUUACAAACAAAUUCAUAAGGACAGGUUGGUUUUUGCAGCAGUGAUACAUUCGGAAAUGACUCUUUCCGUUUGUGCAUACCUAUUUUGUCGCAAAACCCGCUGAAUUAUGCGGCAUCGGGUUUUUGAAUUAUUUGCAAAGAAACUCAUCUGAAUCUUGCUCCUUUAGCCUAACUGGAGCAGUGUAUAUAUUUAUAUAUUUUUUGCCACCAUGGUAACAAGAUUCUCUUCAGUUCUCAGGGAAUGCUCAGGGGAGCCAAGAGUCUUGUGAACCUGAUGUAGCACUGCAGAAUACCUACAUUUUUCUUUGAUGGGCAUGACUUAGUGAAAUUGCACAGGAGCAACCUCUGCAACUGUCGAGCAUGUAUCUGGGUCACGGUGAUAAGCCCACUAUGCUUUUUAGCCAAUGUAAGGGGAAAUUUGUCAUGAGGAUAUUACUCAAGGAAUUCUAGAUGCGCUCUCUUUAAAUGGGAACAAUUGAGAUCAGAAAUUCAUUUGUUCAUUUCCAAAGCUUGUUUCAAGGACUUGAAGAAAAACAAAAAAUCAGCAUGUAUGAGCUCACUGCUAGUUUGUAGUUUGACCAAACUGGAAAACAUUAUACUGUACUAUAUGAGCAAUGUUUUGUUUUAUUACACAUCAGUUAAAUUAUUAUUACACAUGUGACCCAAGUCUAAUAGAAAUCAACUUUAAUGUGACACACCAUAAAGGUGGUAGUAAAAUUUUUAACUUGCAUUUUAUGGAAAAAUGUGGCUUAAAAGUCAAAUAAAAACCUG